rnacentral:tRNA from 1 species
GCCUCUGUAGCGCAGUGGUUAACGCGUUCGGCUGUUAACCGAAAGGUCGAGAGUUCGAAUCUCUCCAGGGGCG